AUUGUCAAAUUCAUGAAUGUUAAAGGAGAGCUCAUGGUGAUCAACGGAUACACUUACUCCAAGUACAACCCGAGAAUGUCAACUAGUAAAAUCGGGGAACGGCAAAGAACUAUUAAUGCACAAUCAGUACUCCUACAAUCGGAGGCGGGCGACCAGUUUUAACAGACUGCGAUGGUACUGCACUUGGUACCACCGAGGUUGUAAGGCUACCCUCGUCACCACCCAGGACUUGAUAGCCGUAAAAUAAUAGCACUAACAAGAGGGGCCGAGGGUUUAUUAUUCAAUGACUACACGUACAGCAGGAAACAGGUCGGGAGGCAUGGCACCUUCCAUUGGUACUGCAGCAAAUACAACUUUGGGUGCAGAGCGAGCGUGACCACGACUAAGGCAAAUAUUGUUAUCAGAUUGUUUGGCAACCAUGCGCACCUGCCCCCCACACCCACUCCCAGCUGCUCCUUCGACCCCAGCAUGAGGGGAAUCUGUGGGGGGAUCCCGCUUCCGGCACCAGAACCUGGGCAAAUAAUUACAAAAAACAAUGGCAGUCAGCUUUUACUAUUCCAAGGCCACACGUUCAACAGAAAACAGACGGCAAAGCAUUCGACUUGGCGGUGGUACUGCACCAGAUACCACACGGGGUGCAAGGCGGGAAUCAUCACCACGCACGAGUACUUGGUGAUCGAGACGAUCAACGAACAUCACCACUCCAGGACUCAACCCAGAAUGAGCAAUAUAGCUGGAGAAUUUACUGAGACACGGUUCACGUCCAAAAACGUGACAUCGUAGAAUCUUGUAUAAAACGGUUAAUCUCACUGAACAUUUAUAGUUAGUAGAUUAAGGUUGAAAAUUGUUUGUAAUAAAAACUAUUUAAUCGGCAAU